AACGAACGCUGGCGGCAGGCCUAACACAUGCAAGUCGAGCGGACCCUUCGGGGUUAGCGGCGGACGGGUGAGUAACGCGUGGGAAUAUGCCCUUCUCUACGGGAUAGUCCUGGGAAACUGGGGGUAAUACCGUAUACGCCCUUUGGGGGAAAGAUUUAUCGGGGAAGGAUUAGCCCGCGUUGGAUUAGGUAGUUGGUGGGGUAAUGGCCUACCAAGCCGACGAUCCAUAGCUGGUUUGAGAGGAUGAUCAGCCACACUGGGACUGAGACACGGCCCAGACUCCUACGGGAGGCAGCAGUGGGGAAUCUUAGACAAUGGGGGCAACCCUGAUCUAGCCAUGCCGCGUGAGUGAUGAAGGCCUUAGGGUUGUAAAGCUCUUUCAGCUGGGAAGAUAAUGACGGUACCAGCAGAAGAAGCCCCGGCUAACUCCGUG
rnacentral:rRNA from 1 species